GGUCCAGACUUUGAUUAUGGCUCAGGAUGAACGCUAGCGGCAGGCUUAAUACAUGCAAGUCGAGGGGUAGCACGAAUAGCAAUAUUUGGUGGCGACCGGCGCACGGGUGCGUAACACGUAUACAAUCUACCUUCAACAGGGGGAUAGCCUUUCGAAAGAGAGAUUAAUACCCCGUAAUAUAUGAGAUGGCAUCAUUUUAUAUUGAAAGUUCCGGCGGUUGAAGAUGAGUAUGCGUCUGAUUAGCUAGUAGGUGAGGUAAUGGCUCACCUAGGCUACGAUCAGUAGGGGAUCUGAGAGGACUAACCCCCACACUGGUACUGAGACACGGACCAGACUCCUACGGGAGGCAGCAGUAAGGAAUAUUGGUCAAUGGAGGCAACUCUGAACCAGCCAUGCCGCGUGCAGGAUGAAGGCCCUAUGGGUCGUAAACUGCUUUUAUACCAGAGAAAACCCUUCCACGUGUGGAAGGCUGAUAGUAUGGUAAGAAUAAGCAUCGGCUAACUUCGUGCCAGCAGCCGCGGUAAGACGAAGGAUGCAAGCGUUAUCCGGAUUCAUUGGGUUUAAAGGGUGCGUAGGCGGACCUGUAAGUCAGUGGUGAAAUCUCUCAGCUUAACUGAGAAACUGCCAUUGAUACUGCAAGUCUAGAGUAUAGAUGACGUUGGCGGAAUAUGACAUGUAGUGGUGAAAUACUUAGAUAUGUCAUAGAACACCGAUUGCGAAGGCAGCUAACGAAACUAUAACUGACGCUGAGGCACGAAAGUGCGGGGAUCAAACAGGAUUAGAUACCCUGGUAGUCCGCACCGUAAACGAUGAUUACUCGUUGUUGGCAAUAUGACCGUCAGCGACCAAGCGAAAGCGAUAAGUAAUCCACCUGGGGAGUACGCCGGCAACGGUGAAACUCAAAGGAAUUGACGGGGGCCCGCACAAGCGGAGGAGCAUGUGGUUUAAUUCGAUGAUACGCGAGGAACCUUACCUGGGCUUGAAAGUUAGUGACCGGUUCUGAAAGGAACUUUUCCGCAAGGACACGAAACUAGGUGCUGCAUGGCAGUCGUCAGCUCGUGCCGUGAGGUGUUGGGUUACGUCCCAGCGACGAGCGCAACCC
rnacentral:rRNA from 1 species